rnacentral:autocatalytically_spliced_intron from 1 species
GUAAGCCGUGUGCGGGAGAACCGCACGCACGGUUUGACGGGCGGGAGCUGGAAACGGGCUCGAA